rnacentral:rRNA from 1 species
AUUGAACGCUGGCGGCAGGCUUAACACAUGCAAGUCGAGCGGAGCGAGGGUGCUUGCACCUUAGCUUAGCGGCGGACGGGUGAGUAAUGCUUAGGAAUCUGCCUAUUAGUGGGGGACAACAUUCCGAAAGGAAUGCUAAUACCGCAUACGCCCUACGGGGGAAAGCAGGGGAUCUUCGGACCUUGCGCUAAUAGAUGAGCCUAAGUCGGAUUAGCUAGUUGGUGGGGUAAGGGCCUACCAAGGCGACGAUCUGUAGCGGGUCGGAGAGGAUGAUCCGCCACACUGGGACUGAGACACGGCCCAGACUCCUACGGGAGGCAGCAGUGGGGAAUAUUGGACAAUGGGCGGAAGCCUGAUCCAGCCAUGCCGCGUGUGUGAAGAAGGCCUUUUGGUUGUAAAGCACUUUAAGCGAGGAGGAGGCUCUUAAGGUUAAUACCCUUGAUGAGUGGACGUUACUCGCAGAAUAAGCACCGGCUAACUCUGUGCCAGCCGCCGCAGUAAGAC